rnacentral:rRNA from 1 species
AGGACGAACGCUGGCGGCGUGCCUAACACAUGCAAGUCGAACGGGGCCCGCAAGGGUUCAGUGGCGAACGGGUGCGUAACACGUGAAGAACUUGUCCAUCGGCGGGGGAUAGCCGGCCCAACGGCCGGGUAAUACCGCGUACGCUUGUCGGAUGGCAUCACCUGACAAGGAAAGCAGCAAUGCACCGAUGGAGAGCUUCGCGGCCUAUCAGCUAGUUGGCGGGGUAAUGGCCCACCAAGGCGACGACGGGUAGCUGGUCUGAGAGGAUGACCAGCCACAUUGGGACUGAGACACGGCCCAGACUCCUACGGGAGGCAGCAGUGGGGAAUAUUGCGCAAUGGGGGAAACCCUGACGCAGCGACGCCGCGUGUGGGAUGACGGCCUUCGGGUUGUAACCACUGUCGGGAGGGACGAAGAUCUGACGGUACCUCCAAAGGAAGCACCGGCUAACUCUGCGCCAGCAGCCGC